ACAGCCUCUUUCAUACUUGAGAGGGAUUUCUGUCUGGGAGAGAGCGUAUUUCAUGAGGGCACUACGUCAUCUUCAUCAUCGUGAUGGAACUGGCCUUUUAUCCGGCGCUGGCACUGAUGUAUUUCUUUGGAGUGAUGAAGGCCGCGCAGGAUGACCGGGUGGAGCUGACCGACCACGCGUCGAUGAACGUGUUCUGUCUGUUCGUGCUGGCACAGCCGCUGUGUCUCGUAAUCGGUGGAUACACCGGCAUGGCUACUUACCUUCUCACAUCUCUGAUAUCCUACAACUUCCUGCCAUGGAAAAGCAGCACAAAAAAGCAAGCAAAAGAAAAAGACUCAGAGAAGAAGACAAAGUGAGAGCCAGAAACAUACAUUACAUGGAAAUAUCAAGAAAGUGGAUUCAAAAGGGGACUGGAGAGUAUUUAAAUUAAGAAAAAAAUAUAAAUAAAUAGCUAUUUCACAAGACAUUAUCAGUCAUUUAA